UUCACGUGCGCACCUCCAACUCGCCGUGCAGUCUCCUCCCCCUCCGCGGCAGCGCCAUCCUCUUCCUCGUUCAUCGGCACACCGGAGGAUGAGGGACGGAGGAGGAGGCAGACGUCCUCUUCCAUUGGUGGCCGUGCUGUAGGGCAGACACCACCGUUGUCCUUGCUCUCGUCAUGCUGCUCCAUCCUCGUUCGUCAGCACACUGGAGGUUGCAGGUUUGUACUUCGUUGCAGGUUUGUACUUCGUUGCAGGUUUGAUGUCAUUUAGUUUUUAGAUUUUUUACAUAUUUCGGGAUAGGCUGCUUCUGUAGUACCACAAUGGUUAUAUUUCUGCCUCACCACUUGACCUCCUGCAUAUUGAUGUUCAGUAUAGGCUGAUGAAUGUUGGUCUGCUCUCUUUCUCUUUUAGAUGUUGGUGGCAUUUUGUGACUGCAUCUAUCUUCCAAGGAAACAACAGGUCAUGUAAGAUGGACACCCGCUAUGCUGUCACAUUUGGAAAUGUAAAUACGAAGCUCCAGUACUUGGCUGAUUAGGUGCUGAUGAUUGAGAGUAUCUCUCUCAGAUCAGUGUUGAUUCACUUCUUUCUGCAGCUAGAAAUCAACAAGUGCUAGGUAUGGGAUGCUACUGCUGCUGAUCCGAAUUUACGUGUGCAUCUCAGGUCCUACAGGAACACCAUGUGUGCUCCGAGACUGUUCCCAGAAGCACAAGUUCUUGUAGGUUUGUGAGCCUUUAGUAUUUUGUUGUUACUCUGGUAAUCAUAUUCUAUUGAAAUUGAUUGAAAUCAGAUCAUCUCAGCUUCUCUGGCAUUUUUGAGAUGUCCUGAUUUGGCAUUAACAAAAUGUUGUCUUCUCCUUUUACACUUCAUGUAUUGCGGACAUUUUGUUCCACCUAGCAUACUUGCUUCUGUAAAUAAUUUUACUGCUCACUAUGAAGUUGUUGUAAAUAACUAUGGGGCGAGUGGCCACGCCGCCGGUUGUGGCGGUGGGGAAAAGCUAACACUUCCGACGAGAAGCGCUCAGAUUUCCCCUCUCCUGCCAUAUUCCCGUUCUGUGAUUUGACCCCUCUCUCUAUCUCUCUGCAGGAGAACGGGAGGGUUAGGAGGACCGAUCUGGCGACAAAGAAGCCCAAUAGCAACCUUCUUCAGGUUUGGUGAUUCCUGCCCCCUUAAAAAUCAGAGGUGUAAACCUGAUUGUUGUGGAAAUAUGUAUGGAUAGUGGGCAUGUUCUACUCUCUCUG